UACGUAGGUGGCAAGCGUUAUUCGGAUUCACUGGGCGUAAAGGGUGCGCAGGCGGCCAGAUGUGUCAGGGGUGAAAUACUGCAGCUUAACUGUAGAACUGCCUUUGAAACUAUCUGGCUAGAGUAUCGGAGAGGUAAGCGGAAUUCCAGGUGUAGCAGUGAAAUGCGUAGAUAUCUGGAGGAACACCGAAGGCGAAGGCAGCUUACUGGACGAUUACUGACGCUCAGGCACGAAAGCAUGGGGAGCGAAAGGG
rnacentral:misc_RNA from 1 species